rnacentral:rRNA from 1 species
AUUGAACGCUGGCGGCAUGCUUUACACAUGCAAGUCGAACGGUAGAGGGGGCAACCCCUUGAGAGUGGCGAACGGGUGAGUAAUGCAUCGGAACGUGCCCAGUCGUGGGGGAUAACGCAGCGAAAGCUGUGCUAAUACCGCAUACGAUCUCUGGAUGAAAGCGGGGGACCGAAAGGCCUCGCGCGAUUGGAGCGGCCGAUGUCAGAUUAGGUAGUUGGUGGGGUAAAGGCUCACCAAGCCAACGAUCUGUAGCUGGUCUGAGAGGACGACCAGCCACACUGGGACUGAGACACGGCCCAGACUCCUACGGGAGGCAGCAGUGGGGAAUUUUGGACAAUGGGCGCAAGCCUGAUCCAGCAAUGCCGCGUGCAGGAAGAAGGCCUUCGGGUUGUAAACUGCUUUUGUACGGAACGAAAAGGUCUGGGUUAAUACCCUGGGCACAUGACGGUACCGUAAGAAUAAGCACCGGCUAACUACGUGCCAGCCGCCGCCGUAAUAC